UUUUUUACUUCAGUGGCGGACGGGUGAGUAACGCGUGGGUAACCUGCCUUAUACAGGGGGAUAACACUUAGAAAUAGGUGCUAAGACCGCAUAAGCGCCCAGGGCCGCAUGGCCCAGGGUGAAAAACUCCGGUGGUAUAAGAUGGGCCCGCGUCUGAUUAGCCAGUUGGCAGGGUAACGGCCUACCAAAGCGACGAUCAGUAGCCGGCCUGAGAGGGUGGACGGCCACAUUGGGACUGAGACACGGCCCAAACUCCUACGGAAGGCAGCAG
rnacentral:rRNA from 1 species